AUGCAAUUCCGUUUCAUAAUGUCUUUAAUAAAAAACAAAAAAAAAUUGCAACUUCAAAACCAAAUAUUACAGGACAUUUUUUUUUAUACCUGGUGUUAAUAUACUUAAGUCGUUAAUAAAAAAUUCGAUAGAAACAAUAUUUUAGAUAUUUUUUUUAAGACGAUCAAACACUAAGUGUCUAUACGGACAAGUUUUUGGGUUAUAAAAGAAAAAAAAAUGUAUAUUUUUUAUUAAGAAAUAUAUUAUAGCAACGACCAUUAAACAUGCGCCUUUCAUCAACAAUAAUUUUCAUAUUGAAAGCAGCUGCCGACUACUAAACUGCAUAAUCAAUGCCACGCCUGAACCUCUCAUCAGACGGAUAAUUCAAUUAUAGUUACCGUCAAAUGCAAAAACAACAAAACAUUACUAUUUUAGAAAAUAUACGAACAAUUUAUGUUGUAGGAACAGUAAUGCUUAAAUAUUUUACAGUUGAUUUUCACUUGUUUUGGACACUUAAAAUGUUAUAUUUAAAUAUAUUUUUUUAAAGAAAUUGUAUUCUCAAAAAUAUAAGAUUAAUUUUUUUUUUGGGACUGUCAUUCAUUUUCAUAUAAUUAAAUAAAAAUUUAUUUCCAACCUUAAAAAAACCAAUCCUUCACAAUUAUUUGUUUCUAAGUAGACGUAGCUUAAACCUUAUUACGACUUAACUAACUUAAAUGUGAUACUUUGCGUAAAACCCGUGACUUCUCUGGGUGCGAUCUUCUUGAAUGUGGCCACCUGUACCGCCAGCUGGUGGAGGACACUAACAGCCGGCCCGUCCUCCAGGGCCCGGGUCAAUCUGACCGCUCGUCCGCACUCACGGACCAGGCAACAUAAUAGCUAUAAUGUACUCACAAUGCGACAGAUUCAGUGAGAACAGCCUCCAAGCGACGAGGGCGUGUGGAUGAAGGGUGAAACGCGGAGGUGGACAAGACGCAGGCUCGGGGAGCGAGAGGAGAGACAGGGUUUAAGACCAACUCCGUCAUACCUCCGAGGUGAUUGAAAAUUAAUUCACGAAUGAGGUCAUUGCACUCGCUCUCUAAAUAAUGAUCAGUAAAGAAAUGUCC